AUGGUUGUGAAGGUAAUAGAUGGCAGAUGGGAGGUGAUCUACUUUGUUGGCGAGCACAACCAUCCGUUGGUUGACAAGCCAUGUUUGACUAAGUAUUUGCGAUCACACAAAGGGAUCCCGCCAGAAGAAAGGGCCUUCCUUACUCAUCUUCAUAACUGCAAUUUAACUAUAGGUCGUAUGAUGCACAUCAUGUCAGAUUUCUAUGGGUCAGAACUCAUUGUACCUUAUGGCACUAAGCACAUACAAACCUCAAGACACUCUUGA
rnacentral:rRNA from 1 species